AACUCUCCCUUUCUCUCACUUUUCACUUCUUCUUCUUCUUCUUCUUCUUCUUCUUCUUCUCUCUUAAACUACAAUGGUAGAAGACGUGUGUUUAUUUUUUGGCAUGUUGUAUGCAGAGAAGGUGGAAGAACAUAUUAAAGCUGUGAUUUUUAUCUCAAAAACUUUAUGAGUACAGAAAAUCAGUUGACAAUUGUAUGGGAUCUGAUAAUCAGGAAGCAGCAAAAUUGGAGUGAUGAUGACCCCAUUUGAUUGACGAAUAAUAGUUUAAAGUAAUAAUUUAAUAAUUAUGAUUUCUAGACAAUGUAUUUAUUAGGUUGUAAUGUAAAAUAAUUUUAAAUUGUUA